UACAGAGGAUGCGAGCGUUAUCCGGAUUUAUUGGGUUUAAAGGGUGCGCAGGCGGCACGGCAAGCCGGCGGUCAAAUCGCGGGGCUCAACCCCGCCCAGCCGUCGGAACUGCCGGGCUAGAGUGGGCGAGAAGUGCGCGGAAUGCGUGGUGUAGUGGUGAAAUGCAUAGAUAUCACGCAGAACUCCGAUUGCGAAGGCAGCGCACCGGCGCCCUACUGACGCUCAGGCACGAAAGCGUGGGUAUCGAACAGG
rnacentral:rRNA from 1 species